AAGGAAUUUAGCUAGACAUGAUAAAAGUAAACUUACAAGAAAAAGGGAUGAAGAACAUCUCUUGAUUUCUCAAGUAAAAUGAUGAAUCCACCUUCAAGAACUCUUAAAACUAAUAUUACUUCUAUCUUUUAACUAUUACCAAAAAACUAUCUUUUAGAAAAUGGCUUCUGAGCUCUAUUUAUAGACUUUCAGGACAGAGGAGUUCGCUAAGCGAAAUGACGUUCGCUGAGCGAACUAGUUACUUAAGCAAGGGGUUUCUUGACACGUAGCAAAAGGCUUGACUCAUCACUUUGUUCGCCGAUGCUCGCUAUCUCUCGCUAACAGACCCUUCCUCCCGGGUUGUGCUCGCCAUCUCUCGCUACCUUUCGCUGAGCGAACGUUGAGUUUGCUGUCCUGUUCGCUGAAUCUCGCUGAAGCUCGCCAUGGACCCUUAACCCACUGGUUUAGUUCGCCAUCUCUCGCUAUGGCUUCGCUGAGCGAAGGCUUCAAAACCUGCUUUUUCUAGCCAUUCCAAACAAAAAUGCCUUGGGAUUAAUUCCUCUUUGAUUUAAUGUUAUAUUUACACCAAAAGGGGUUUUAAUCAAGAUUUCUUUAUAAAAGUAUUGGUAAGUGCUCAUAAUUCAUGAUACAAUAUAACUAAAAUUGGGCACUUAUCAAUUACAUGAGUAAAAUAGGUCUGAGUCUUCAUGUAUUUAUAGCCCUGAAUUGUCUUGAUGCGCAAGCUAGGUUUUCAGACACAUAGCUG
rnacentral:lncRNA from 1 species